rnacentral:lncRNA from 1 species
AAACCAAAGAAGGAAGCUCCUGUCAUUGCCAAAGCCAAAAGGAAAGCCUUAAAGCAAAGUAGGCAGUGCUGAAAGUCAUCCACAGCCACUGAAAAGAAGUAGUAGACCUGUAAGUCACCCACUUUCCUGUGGCCCAAGAUUUUGUAUAGCAGGAGACAACACAAACACCCUCGAAAGAGCACGACCAACAGAGAGAAGUGUGAGCACGAUGCCCUCAUCAAAUUCCCCGAAUGCUGAUUCAGCCAUGAAGACGGUAGAGGACAACAGUUCCCUGUGGAUACCAAGGCCAGCAAGCACCAGAUUGAAUGGACUAUGAAGAAACUUGGGGUCACGGAUGUGGCCAAAGUCAAUACUCUGAUGAGGCCUGAUAGAGAGAAAAAG